AUUGAACGCUGGCGGCAGGCCUAACACAUGCAAGUCGAGCGAGCGGCGGACGGGUGAGUAAUGUCUGGGAAACUGCCUGAUGGAGGGGGAUAACUACUGGAAACGGUAGCUAAUACCGCAUACCAUCAGAUGUGCCCAGAUGGGAUUAGCUAGUAGGUGGGGUAACGGCUCACCUAGGCGACGAUCCCUAGCUGGUCUGAGAGGAUGACCAGCCGCACUGGAACUGAGACACGGUCCAAGCGGCUACGGGAGGCAGCAGUGGGGAAUAGUGCACAAUGGGUGGGAGCUUGAUGCAGCCAUGCCGCGUGUGUGAUGAAGGACUUCGGGUUGUAAAGCGCUUUCAUCGGGGAUGCGUUACCCGCAGAAGAAGCACCGGCUAACUCCGUGCCAGCAGCCGCGGUAAUUC
rnacentral:rRNA from 1 species